UUAAGUUCAGCGGGUAUCCCUACCUGAUCCGAGGUCAAAGUAAUAAAGGUCUUGAUGGGAGGAGAUAGGCUGGAGUCGCGACGCAAUGUGCUGCGCACGAAGCCAACUUACCGGCUGCCAAUGAAUUUGAGGCGAGUCCCCGCACAGAGGCGGGGACAAACGCCCAACACCAAGCAGAGCUUGAAGGGUUAAAUGACGCU
rnacentral:misc_RNA from 1 species